ensembl:lincRNA
UUACUCGGGUUUACACGCAGGAAGCGGGGCGGGGGGAGGAGAAAAAUUAAAAUCUCAUGCAGUUCCUCUCCCAUUCUUUUCUAGAUUUGGGCAAAGCUCAGUGACACCUUCAAAGCCACUCGUAUGGAAAGGACCGCGGGCUGGACGUGGCCACCAGGACUCAGGUAUCUUUCCACUGUGGAAAAAUAAGAGGACUGAGAUGACACAGAGACUACACCACAUUUCGGAUUGUAUGUGUCCAAAGGAGAAAGGAAAAAGACAGAAAAUGAGUGUAUCGUGUGAGAAUGCUUAAAAGCCUUAUUGGAAACUCUGUCCUCCUUUACCAGUUUUGCCAGUCCUUUUUUUUGUUUGUUUUUUAGGAUUUAUGUGGGAGACUGGGAAAGGGGGCAGAAGCCGAAAUGAUUCAUUUCCAAAAUUUUGUACUUUGAACAAAAUCAGUUUUCUCAUCUAGUGCUGCAAAUAAAAAUAAGCAACAAAAUAAGUUCAAGAGAUCUAUUGUACAACGUGGAGGCCAUACUUAAGGACAAGGUGUUGUACUUUUAAUGCUAAGAGAGUGGAUGUUUAAGUAUUUUUCUCAGGAAGAUGAUGGGUAUAUAAGGUAAUGCAUUUGUUAAUUAGCUAGACUUUACAAUUCCACAAUGUUUAUAUACUUCAAAACAUUAUGUUGUAUGUAAUAAUACAUACACUGUUAUAUGUCAAAAAAUAAAUGGAUUUUAAAAUAAAAUAAAUAGGAUAUUUCCAGUACUCCAU